UACGGAGGGGGCUAGCGUUGUUCGGAAUUACUGGGCGUAAAGCGCGCGUAGGCGGACCUGCAAGUCGGGGGUGAAAGCCCGAGGCUCAACCCUCGGAACUGCCUUCGAUACUGCGGGUCUCGAGUCCGGGAGAGGUGAGUGGAAUUCCUAGUGUAGAGGUGAAAUUCGUAGAUAUUAGGAAGAACACCAGUGGCGAAGGCGGCUCACUGGCCCGGUACUGACGCUGAGGCGCGAAAGCGUGGGGGAGCAAACAGGG
rnacentral:rRNA from 1 species